rnacentral:lncRNA from 1 species
GCCAAUUGAUAUAACAGUCAUGACUAGAGUUCUUAAACAACUCACAGCCAUUGAAUUUGUCUGAUGGAACCAAGGGUCCGAUCGUGAUCAAGUUUAUGUUGGAAUUAUGAGCAAGGGCUUUGAUUGCAUAUUCUUCUAGCGCAUCGAAGGUGUUUAGAAGAACACAAGGAUUAGGGUCUUCUUCCAGAAUUUGAAUGUGUUUUUGGAAGGCAGUCGUGGCAAAAGAGAGUGGACUGUUUGGUAAGAGAAAACAAGGAAGGUCUUUCCAUCCAAAUGGAGGCAACCCUUCAAAUUUUAUGACGCUUGGAGGGCAAUUGACUUUAGAAUCAUAAGCACCAGUCUGGCUAUUGAGAUAAUGGUGGUAGAUAGCAAGCAAAGCAGCAGCUUGGAUGCAGAGGAAAGCAGAAGGUAUGGACAUGGCACGUGCCACAUCAGCGACCCAAGACAGCGAGGGACCAUAUAUCAAGAAGCUUACCGGAUGGCCAUCAUUAGACAAGCUCAGUAGUAGGUUGGUUAGAGUUUGUGACCCAACAUGCUCGCAUCUGGACAUAACAUCCUCCUGUUUGUCGGACGGAGAAGUUCCAUCAUCGAAUCCGUUAGAAACAGAGGCAUAGGCUAAGCCCUCGAGAGAAGGGAAACUUUUGAUUUUCCGUUGGCCAUUAAUGGUGGUGGCAAAAGUGACUCGUGCACCGGCCUGUAUCAGGCGCCUCGCUAGUCGGAAAGUUGGGUUUAGGUGGCUUUGGAAAGGCAAGGUUGCAAGGAGGAAGUGGGGAUAAUCCGAACUCAUUGCUUGUUUCUUUCCUUGUGCUCUACAGAAUUAUGGUAAGGUUUUUCUGUAUAAAAUGCAGCAAGACAAGUGAAUAAUUUGCUCAGAGAAAAGAUAAAUAAAGAACUCUCAGGUUAUCGUGACCAUAUGAACAAAGGACCAAUCAUUUAAUUUCUUUCUCUAUCGAAAACCAAAAGGACCCAUUGGUACCGACGAGUCAAUCAUAAUACAAGUAAAGUCAUCCACAUACAUACCCCAAACAAAAGAAAUUACACCUACCAUAUUAAUUUUUUUUUAAAAUGAUUUUAUUUAACCUCAAUACUAGAAUGUCAUGUCGAGUCUCUCGUCUGAUUGGUCAAAAACUCCUAUGACAUUGGAAAUCAAAUUAGGUAAGAAACUCGUACAAUAUUAAUUAUUACCACUGUCUUUGAAGCUUGACUGAGGUCGGACAUGGAAUCUCCAUAAGAUCAUUUCAAUUAGUUUAGGGAUCAUAUUGAAUGGGGUAAAGUACAAAAAUCUUCAUUUGAUACACUUCUAAAAUACACUUUGACCCCUCUUAUUUCAAAAUACAUCAUUAGGUCGCUUGACUUUUUAUUAUCAUGAGUUAACAGUUAUUUACAAAUAUGAAAAGUUAUAAUUGCUUUCAAAUAAUUGAAAAAUAAAAAAAUAUAAUGAAUAUCAUAAUCUAAUUUAAAGAAAUAAUAAUGUAAAUAUAUUUUAUUCAAAUUUUGUCUAUUUUAAAGAUAAAAAAAACACAUAAUGAUGGAAAAAAGAAAACAAUAAUUAUUUAGGAUUAAUUUUUAUUAUAAAUUCAAUAAAACUCAUAAUUUUGAGGUAAAAAAAUUUUAAAAAUUUAAGUAAUCAUAUUAUAAUUAAAUUAUGUAUAAAUUUUUUGUAUUUAGGGAGGUUUUUGUAAAUUUUUUUAACCAAGCUCUUGCGAGCUCAAUUUUAAAUUUAACCCACUAAGCUCUUAUGAGUUUAUUAAAAUAUUGUAAUUUUGUUAAAUUUUUAUAGUUGUUGAAAAAUUGACUAUAUGGUGUCGGUGUCUUGGUGAUAAUGAUUUUGGAUUAUAGUCAUGGUGGUUCAUAGAAAUCAAAAGAAGGAAAGAUAGAAAAAUAAGAGGAAGAAACAGAAAUAAUCAUUACUUAAUUUUUUAAGUUUUUUUUUACUUUUUUAUCAUUAUAUUUCUCUUUUUUAUUUUUUAAAGUUGAUAAAUGUUUAAUAAAAUUAUUAUUAUUAUUUAAGUAAAUUAAAUUAUGAUUUUUUUUUCAAUUAUUUUAGAAUAAUUAUAACCUUUUAUAUUUAUAAAAUACUGCUGACUAAUGGUAAAAAAAUGUCCAGGUCCUAACAAUACAUUUUGAAACAAAAGAAGUCAAAGUAUACUUCUGAGGUGUAUUGAGGGGGUCUCUACAUCUUGAAUAAUUGUUUUAAAAUUUGUGUUUUGUUUCUUUAUUAUUAUUUGGUAAGAACUUGAUUUAUUUAUAACAAAAGGAGAAUUAGAAAUCUAAAGUAUGAUUUCUCUAAAAAGAAAAGAUGUAUAAAUUUAGUCGGAAUUACAAAUGAGAAAUCUCAAUAUAACAUGUUACAAGUGAAACUAUUUGGAAGAUUCACUUUGAAAUAUAAGGGAUUUUAAUAGAGUCAAGUUUAACGAUUGAUAUAUUAACGAACAUCAAGAUGUUUAUGUUCAAAAAAUCUCUUAAUGUUUUAAUCUUCUAAUAAAUUCUCUAUUAAUUUAUUCUUUUUUUAAAAAAUAAUUACAUCUUUUUAAAAAAUAGGACAAAGUGUACAAUAAUUCGACCAAGCUUUAAUCUAUGAAUAAAGUGGCUGGUUGACUUGAUCCCCACGAGCAAUAAGGGUGCGAAGGCAGAGCAUGAUGACUUAUUUAAUUAACAUGAUUAUUCAUUAAUUUUUCAUUUUACAAAGCUUUUCAUGAAAACCUUGUAAUUUUUGGCUGAGGAACCGCCUUGACCGGUGGCCUCAAGAGCCAACCCUUUCCACUUCUUAGCAUUCCUUCUCAGUUCUUCCCCUUUCUGUCCUUUUUCCAUUACAUCUCCAAGCACCUUCUGAUCUCUUCCUUCUCUGCAACUGCAGUACCUUCAUUUACUUUCACUCUAACACCAGUUUCCCAUACCUCUUCUAUUAGCUUUGCGUUCGUGGUCUGAUCUGAAAACCGAGGCAAUGCUACCAUUGGCACGCCUGCAACCAAGCACUCCGUAGUGGAGUUCCACCCGCAAUGCGUCAGAAAACAACCUACCGCCCGGUGAUUCAACACUUCAACUUGUGAACACCAUGGAACAAUCAGCCCUUGUUCUUCCUUCAUCUUAUUCUUUAUCACAUUCUCGAAUCCUUCUUCUUCUACUGCAUCUUUUGAUGGUCGGAUUACCCAUAAGAAUGUGUAGCCACUGUCGACUAUUCCAUCAAAAAUUUCUUCCAUCUGAUUCCUCGGCAAUACUACCAGGCUACCGAAGGAAAUGUAGACAACAGAACCAUCUGGCUUGGAAUCCAACCAAUGGGUAUAAUAGUCAUGACAAGAGUUCUCAAACAAAUCACACCCAACGAAAUUGUCUGAUGGAACCAAGGGUCCAAUGGUGAUCAAGUUUAUGUUGGAAUCAUGAGCAAGGGCUUUGAUUGCGUAUUCUUCUAGCGCAUCAAAGGUGUUUAUAAGAACACAAGGAUUAGGAUCUUUUUCCAGAACUUGAAUGUGUUUUUGAAAGCCUGUCGUGAUAAAAGAGAGUGGACUGUUAGGUAAGAGAAAACAAGGAAGG